rnacentral:rRNA from 1 species
UCAGGACGAACGCUGGCGGCGUGCUUAACACAUGCAAGUUGAACGGUAUGACAUGGAAGCUUGCUGAAGUGUCAUAUAGUAGCGGACGGGUGAGUAAUGCAUGAGAAGCUGCCAUUGGGAGGGGGACAACAGUUGGAAACGGCUGCUAAUACCCCCGGUAUGCCGGAGGGUGAAAGGGAGUAAUCCGCCCGAUGAGGUGCUCAUGUCCUAUCAGCUGGUUGGUGGGGUAACGGCCUACCAAGGCGACGACCGGGUAGCCGGCCUGAGAGGGUGAACGGCCACACUGGAACUGAGAUACGGUCCAGACUCCUACGGGAGGCAGCAGUGGGGAAUAUUGGGCAAUGAACGCGAGUCUGAACCAGCCAAAGUAGCGUGAAGGAUGACUGCCCUAUGGGUUGUAAACUUCUUUUAUAAGGGAAUAAAGUGAGGGACGUGUCCCUUUUUGUAUGUACCUUAUGAAUAAGGAUCGGCUAACUCCGUGCCAGCCGCCGC